rnacentral:misc_RNA from 1 species
UUAAGUUCAGCGGGUAUCCCUACCUGAUCCGAGGUCAAAGUAAAAAAGAGGCUUAGUGGGAGGAGGUCUGCUAGGCGUGACGCAAUGUGCUGCGCACGAAACCAACAUACCGGCUGCCAAUGAAUUUAAGGCGAGUCCACACACUAAGGCGGAACAAACACCCAACACCAAGCAAAGCUUGAAGGUUUAAAUGACGCUCG